AGUGCAUAAUAUAUUUUACAAUAGCCCCAACCUUCAGCUACCUGCAACCCCUCCCAUCUAUCACUGAAGAACAUCCAGUUUAGACUUCUAUUUACCAUAUAUUUUUCAACUGUACUGUUUCACAAGAGUUCUGAACCUAUCUACAUUUUUACAGACACAGUAUAUUUUACAUGUGUUAUCUUGUUAUUUUUAGUCCCAACCGUUCUUGUUUACCUUCUCUUAGGUAAACUCACUGGAUGUAAAAAGGUCAAAACAUCUUAGCAAUCUAUGCUUACAAUCAACCAAAACAUACUUCUAUCAUCAGAUGUGUAUAAUGUGCAGUUCAUAAUAUGAGCUGUUAUUCAACCAUCACACUGUUUUAUCUUAGCAUCAUGUUACUUCAAAAUGUGUAUCUUCCUUAGCUUAUUCAUUUGAGUUUAAGUUUUAAAAAGCACGUAGGUCAUUAGAGGCCUUGUUAUUAUCCCGAAGUGUAUCUUAUAGAAUUAUCUAUUGGUCUAAUUUCAGUAGCCAUAUCAUAUCAAUUUGAGAUAUUUUUCACCUGUGAAAUGUCUUUCUGCAGUAUUUCUCAAUGUUUUUUUUCUAUAUUGUACAUUGUAUUUAUUGCAUUUAUUUAUGUUUUUAUGCAUGUACAGUCAAUAUUGUCUCUUGCAAACUACAUCUUAUUUAUUACAGCUCAAGUAUAUCCAAACUGACCCUGAGUUGUAGUACCCUCACUCUAUUUAAUUAUCAAGUUGUCAACAAGUGAAUUAUAUAAUUUCUCAAAUGUUCUUUCUGGUGCAAACAUGAGUUGGAUUUAAAAAAAACUGAAUUUGUAAUGCCAUCCAAUGUUGUUAUGUAAUGUUGUUUAUCUAUAUUUCAACAGGACAAUGACCCAACACACCUCAAGGCUAAAGUUUGGACACACCUAGUCAUUCAAGGGUUUUUCUUUAUUUAUUUUACAUUGUAGAAUAAUAGUGAAGACAUCAAAACUAUGAAAUAACACAUAUGGAAUCAUGUGGUAACCAAAAAGAGUUUUAAACAAAUCAAAAUAUAUUUUAGAUUAUUCAAAGCAGCCACCCUUUGCCUUGAUGACAGGUCACAAGUUGAUGUUUUAACACGUUACCUCAUUCAUGACCGGCUGGGAUUGAGCCACGUUCUCCUUCACACUGUAGACAUUGUGAUGGGCUCAUCUUAAUCAGUCUUUCUUUAUUGGAGGAGUUCGUUUUCAUAAGCAGUAUUGCAGACUCUGUGACUGCUGUCUUCCUGUGACUGUGUGAGCCAUGGUGACGUUGAUGUUUUUUCUAAAGGGAUUCAUUAGUGUGUUCAGUACUGCCAAAUUCUCGAUCAACUCUUGAAGGAAUUAUUUUCAAGACAAUUCCCAUGGAGGUCAAAGUCAUUUUCUGGCAACCUUUUCAGUACAAUAUUUUUAUUGAGACAGAUACAAUUUAUAUUCUUCUGAUACAAUAAAAUAUAUUUCUUUGCA